rnacentral:rRNA from 1 species
UGAGGGAAAGGCGAAAAGAACCCCGGCGAGGGGAGUGAAAAAGAACCUGAAACCGUGUACGUACAAGCAGUGGGAGCACCCUUCGGGGUGUGACUGCGUACCUUUUGUAUAAUGGGUCAGCGACUUAUAUUCUGUAGCAAGGUUAACCGUAUAGGGGAGCCGGAGGGAAACCGAGUCUUAAUUGGGCGUUAAGUUGCAGGGUAUAGACCCGAAACCCGGUGAUCUAGCCAUGGGCAGGUUGAAGGUUGGGUAACACUAAC